rnacentral:pre_miRNA from 3 species
ACAUGAGACACCUGGGGACCUUGUUAAAAUGUAGACUCUGACUGGGUAGGUCUGGGAUGGGAUCCAAGAGUCUGCAUUUCUAACUAGCUCCCAGGUGCUGCUGCU